CUUCCGGUUGAUCCCGCCGGACCCGACUGCUAUCAGAGUGGGACUAAGCCAUGCGAGUCAACAUAGCAAUAUGUGGCAUACGGCUCAGUAACACGUAGUCAACAUGCCCAGGGGACGUGGAUAACCUCGGGAAACUGAGGAUAAACCGCGAUAGGUCAUCACUUCUGGAAUGGGUAAUGACUUAAAUCUAUAUGGCCCCUGGAUUGGACUGCGGCCGAUCAGGCUGUUGGUGAGGUAAUGGCCCACCAAACCUGUAACCGGUACGGGCUCUGAGAGGAGGAGCCCGGAGAUGGGCACUGAGACAAGGGCCCAGGCCCUAUGGGGCGCAGCAGGCGCGAAACCUCUGCAAUAGGCGAAAGCUUGACAGGGUUACUCUGAGUGAUUUCCGUUAAGGAGAUCUUUUGGCACCUCUAAAAAUGGUGCAGAAUAAGGGGUGGGCAAGUCUGGUGUCAGCCGCCGCGGUAAUACCAGCACCCCGAGUGGUCGGGACGUUUAUUGGGCCUAAAGCAUCCGUAGCCGGUUCUACAAGUCUUCCGUUAAAUCCACCUGCUUAACAGAUGGGCUGCGGAAGAUACUAUAGAGCUAGGAGGCGGGAGAGGCAAGCGGUACUCGAUGGGUAGGGGUAAAAUCCGUUGAUCCAUUGAAGACCACCAGUGGCGAAGGCGGCUUGCCAGAACGCGCUCGACGGUGAGGGAUGAAAGCUGGGGGAGCAAACCGGAUUAGAUACCCGGGUAGUCCCAGCUGUAAACGAUGCAGACUCGGUGAUGAGUUGGCUUAUUGCUAACUCAGUGCCGCAGGGAAGCCGUUAAGUUUGCCGCCUGGGGAGUACGGUCGCAAGACUGAAACUUAAAGGAAUUUGGCGGGGGAGCA
rnacentral:rRNA from 1 species